rnacentral:rRNA from 1 species
GAUGAACGCUGGCGGCGUGCCUAAUACAUGCAAGUCGAGCGAACAGACGAGGAGCUUGCUCCUCUGACGUUAGCGGCGGACGGGUGAGUAACACGUGGAUAACCUACCUAUAAGACUGGGAUAACUUCGGGAAACCGGAGCCAAUACCGGAUAAUAUAUUGAACCGCAUGGUUCACUAGUGAAAGACGGUUUUGCUGUCACUUAUAGAUGGUUCCGCGCCGCAUUAGCUAGUUGGUAAGGUAACGGCUUACCAAGGCAACGAUGCGUAGCCGACCUGAGAGGGUGAUCGGCCACACUGGAACUGAGACACGGUCCAGACUCCUACGGGAGGCAGCAGUAGGGAAUCUUCCACAAUGGGCGAAAGCCUGACGGAGCAACGCCGCGUGAGUGAUGAAGGUCUUCGGAUCGUAAAACUCUGUUAUUAGGGAAGAACAAAUGUGUAAGUAACUAUGCACGUCUUGACGGUACCUGAUCAGAAAGCCACGGCUAACUACGUG